AAAAAAAAAAAAAAACAAUUUAAUUGUUUGCAAAAAUUUUAUGUUUCCCAAGAAUAAAAAGAAAACCAUUUGACAAAAAUGGACAAUCUCCUUGAAAAAAAAACAAUCGAUUGCCCUUACUGCUAGCCAUAAAUUCACUUCCUUGCAUUCCAGAAGAAGGAAGAAUAAAUUCAAUAAUUAUUCCCUCAGCAGACCUAUGGUGCAGAAUGUGAAGAGUACCUACUUCAAAAUAGUUUUCUCCACAUCAUGUUUUUUAACUUGCAUUCUCCUUUAAAUAUUUUUCAUUUUUUUACUUGAAUUUCAGUUAAAAAGGAAACUUUCUUUGAAUGUUCAGCUGGCAUAGCUCAUAAGUCAUAACAAAAUUGUUACCAAACUAGAAGCUGGCAUGACUAAGCCCAAUAAACAAACAAUCUUGCCUAUGUCAAAAAUCAAUGCUCUCUUCGUUAACCUCCCUGUGAGCAAAAUCAAAGGUCUUGGGCUUUGAUGUCUGUGAAAGACUAAAGAAGAAUCAAGAAUCUUGGAAAUUUGUUGAAUUUUUCUGAAGUUGAACUUUAAGAGGAAACUCGUCGGAAAAAAUAGAACUGGAAGAAAAUCAUCAAGAAAUUCAAGAAAUAUCUUCUCAGCUAGAAACUAUUCGGAAGCUAAACCUAAGUUUUAUGGAAAAAUUUAUUAAAGACAAAGCUAAAUCGAGGGCCACCCAUUCGAUGAUUGAUAAUCUUGACAUCAUUAAAAUGCACAUUGUCAGUAUUUCGGAUAUGAAAAAAGAAACUCGAGAAUUAGAAAUGAUUAACAAUCAUCACUUUAAUUGCACUAACAAAACUAUUCUAAAUGAUGCAGAAACAACGUUCUCAGCAACAAAUGGAGCUUAUUCUUUAUGAAAAUACAAAAGAAAAACUCAACCGAGCCUACAAGAGACUUGAGAAUGUUAAAAUGCUUACAAAAACUGUAUCCGAUGCACUUACGAAUGCCGAACUCAUAUGGAUAACUACACAAUUGGAUUUGGAAAAAAAUCGUAACCGAUUUAGUAACUCGGAUGAAUUAAAUAUGCAAUGAAAAUGUACAAAAGCUUGUUUGUAUGAAUAUGAAAAGUUUGGAAGGCUUUUGAAAUAUGCUUUGAAUGCAUUGAUAAAUAAGAAACCUUAUACGUCUGUUUUAGAUUUAAUCAAUGAACUCAAUCGAAUUGAGAACAUCUUGAAGCCUUAUGUGUAUGAAAGUCCUGUUAAAUUGGCCAUGUUCGAACAAAUAAACUUACUCAAACCAAUUUUCAAUGCAAAAAUGAAUAAGAAACAUUUUGAAAUUGAUUUUCGGCAUUUGCGUUCUCAAUUCCAGGAGAAUAUUCAUGAAAAAAUGAGCAAUGAUGCCUUGUUGCACAAUGGUCAGUUGCUUUGGAUUUGGUUUCUAACUGAACCAAAAAAAUUACUAGAUGCCGUUGCUGAGGUUCGAAAAGCAGCUUUUAAAGUACCAGUAAUGACGGGAGUCAAAUCACUUGGGGGUACAAAGAGAAAAGGAGGAGAAUCAAGUAUACCUUGAAAUGUU